AGCCUUCUGUAUCCGUGCUGAGAUUUCGUCACACACCAGACCACAAGGGCUGAUGAGACU
rnacentral:pre_miRNA from 1 species